GCUUCCGAAAGCAAUCAAAAUUUAUUUUUUUACAAAAAUAUUAACAGAUAAGCAAUCAAUCUAUGAUUAUGGAAUACAAGAUGGUUGAUUUAUUUAUUUUAUUAAGUUAAUAAAUGCUUCACAUUUGGCAAAAAAUGAUUUAUAUUUUAUUUAUCUAGAUAAAAAUAAUUCGAAUACACGUAAGCAAUUUUUUCUUCCGAGGGGGG
rnacentral:lncRNA from 1 species